UACAGAGGUCCCAAGCGUUGUUCGGAUUCACUGGGCGUAAAGGGUGCGUAGGUGGCCAGGUAAGUUUGGUGUGAAAGCUCGGAGCUUAACUCCGAAAAGUCAUUGAAUACUAUCUGGCUGGAGGGUCGGAGGGGAGACUGGAAUUCUCGGUGUAGCAGUGAAAUGCGUAGAUAUCAAGAGGAACACCAGUGGCGAAGGCGAGUCUCUGGACGACUCCUGACACUGAGGCACGAAAGCUAAGGGGAGCAAACAGG
rnacentral:rRNA from 1 species